rnacentral:rRNA from 1 species
UCCUACCGGGAGGCAGCAGUGGGGAAUAUUGCACAAUGGGCGAAAGCCUGAUGCAGCGACGCCGCGUGGGGGAUGACGGUCUUCGGAUUGUAAACCCCUUUCAGUAGGGACGAAGCGCAAGUGACGGUACCUGCAGAAGAAGCACCGGCUAACUACGUGCCAGCAGCCGCGGUAAUACGUAGGGUGCGAGCGUUGUCCGGAAUUACUGGGCGUAAAGAGCUCGUAGGCGGUUUGUCACGUCGUCUGUGAAAUCCCUCGGCUUAACCGGGGGCGUGCAGGCGAUACGGGCAGACUUGAGUACUACAGGGGAGACUGGAAUUCCUGGUGUAGCGGUGAAAUGCGCAGAUAUCAGGAGGAACACCGGUGGCGAAGGCGGGUCUCUGGGUAGUAACUGACGCUGAGGAGCGAAAGCAUGGGUAGCGAACAGGAUUAGAUACCCUGGUAGUCCAUGCCGUAAACGGUGGGCGCUAGGUGUGGGGUCCUUCCACGGACUCCGUGCCGUAGCUAACGCAUUAAGCGCCCCGCCUGGGGAGUACGGCCGCAAGGCUAAAACUCAAAGGAAUUGACGGGGGCCCGCACAAGCGGCGGAGCAUGUGGAUUAAUUCGAUGCAACGCGAAGAACCUUACCUAGGCUUGACAUAUACAGGACGACGGCAGAG